rnacentral:rRNA from 1 species
CCUACGGGCGGCUGCAGUGGGGAAUAUUGGACAAUGGGCGAAAGCCUGAUCCAGCCAUGCCGCGUGUGUGAAGAAGGCCUUCGGGUUGUAAAGCACUUUCAGUGGGGAAGAAAGCCUUGGGGCUAAUACCCUCGAGGAAGGACAUCACCCACAGAAGAAGCACCGGCUAACUACGUGCCAGCAGCCGCGGUAAUACGGAGGGUGCGAGCGUUAAUCGGAAUUACUGGGCGUAAAGCGCGCGUAGGCGGUCUGAUAAGCCGGUUGUGAAAGCCCCGGGCUCAACCUGGGAACGGCAUCCGGAACUGUCAGGCUAGAGUGCAGGAGAGGAAGGUAGAAUUCCCGGUGUAGCGGUGAAAUGCGUAGAGAUCGGGAGGAAUACCAGUGGCGAAGGCGGCCUUCUGGACUGACACUGACGCUGAGGUGCGAAAGCGUGGGUAGCAAACAGGAUUAGAUACCCGGGUAGUC